rnacentral:misc_RNA from 1 species
CAAGAAGAGACCCUAACCGGUCCUCUCAACCCUGCCCAUCGUACCUUUUUUGUUGUUCCCUCGGCGGUGCUCGCGGGCCCGCCGGCGGGAAGACCAAACAAACCCUUUGCAAACAAGCAUACCGAAUCUCUGAUCAAACAUGAAUUGUCA